rnacentral:rRNA from 1 species
AAUGAACGCUGGCGGCGCGCCUAAUACAUGCAAGUCGAGCGAGAAGACGUAGCAAUACGUUUGUAAAGCGGCGAACGGGUGAGGAAUACAUGGGUAACCUACCCUCGAGUGGGAAAUAACUAGCCGAAAGGUUAGCUAAUACCGCGUACGCUUCUUGGACUUCGGUUCAGGGAGGAAAGCGAUGCCGAGGGUAUCGCGCUCUUGGAUGGGCUCAUGUCCUAUCAGCUUGUUGGGAGGUAC